UGGAGAAUCUUGCACAAUGGGGGAAACCCUGAUGCAGCGACGCCGCGUGAACGAUGAAGCCCUUCGGGGUGUAAAGUUCUUUCGACAGGAACGAUAAUGACGGUACCUGGAGAAGAAGCUGCGGCUAACUACGUGCCAGCAGCCGCGGUAAUACGUAGGCAGCGAGCGUUGUUCGGAGUUACUGGGCGUAAAGAGUGCGUAGGCGGCGAGCCAAGUUUGGUGUGAAAUCUCCCGGCUUAACCGGGAGGGUGCGCCGAAAACUGGUUGGCUGGAGUAUGGGAGAGGAAAGCGGAAUUCCUGGUGUAGCGGUGAAAUGCGUAGAUAUCAGGAGGAACACCUGCGGUGUAGACAGCUUUCUGGACCAAAACUGACGCUGAGGCACGAAAGCGUGGGUAGCAAACA
rnacentral:rRNA from 1 species